UCUUUACUUCUCAGUUAUUCUCAAAAGUUGAUCAGUCUCUUUCUUAUUGUUUCCUCUCUGUGCAGGAGACAGAUGGCAGGUGUUUCACAAUUACAAGUCACUGUGUGCUACUUCCACGGCUGUAAAGUUGAAAGAGUGACUUCAGCUCCCAUUCAUUCUCAGCUUGUUUGUUGUUUCGGCUUAAAUGUCUGCAGACCAGAAUCAAUGAAAUCAAACACUUCCUAAUCUGAAUACUGAAUCUCAAAUCUGCCAAGUAUGACGCCCAGCAUCCUUUUAAGGAUGAGCAAGUCAACUCCACAAUGCUUCAUCUGACUCCAACAAAAUCUGUUAUUUUUAUUUUUAUUCUCAAUUUUCUGGAUGGUGAGUCUUUAACACCAGGCAAACGGUGAGCAACUGAAGAGCACAGCAGCCUCACAAUGACAUUUGAAAAUUUACUCUGAAAUACGGUAUUACUGUAUUUAAAUAUUGUACUGUAUGAAUACAAAACUAUACUAAUCUGUAAAGUAAGCUUAACACUGUGUUCAUUUUCAUUGAUAUCUUUGGAGCAUUAUUGUCAAGAAUAGUAUAUUUUGGAAAAAAAUCAAUAUCUUAGGUCAUGGAAUUGUACAAAAUCAGGAAACAUGCUUUAAGUAGGAUUUCCUAAACACAGAAGACAAAUGUGCAGCUGAAGAUGGAAGGACCCCCAACCUUUCUCUGUUUACAUGUUUGGUUUAAAUUAUUAGCGAGGUGCACAUGUUCAUCUCAAUGUGAAAUGUUUCUGUCCUUUCCUGUGCUUUUUCAAUGGCCAUAAAGUUUGGAAUAAAUCAGCAAAGUUUAAAUAAGAAUAAUUACUA
rnacentral:lncRNA from 1 species